UACGGAGACUGCGAGCGUUACUCGGAUUCACUGGGCGUAAAGGAUGCGUAGGCGGUUAGGUGUGUCAGGUGUGAAAUCUCGGGGCUUAACUCCGAAACUGCGCCUGAAACUAUCUAACUAGAGUCUCGGAGGGGUGAGCGGAAUUCCCGGUGUAGCGGUGAAAUGCAUAGAUAUCGGGAGGAACACCAAUGGCGAAGGCAGCUCACUGGACGAGUACUGACGCUGAGGCAUGAAAGCGUGGGUAGCGAAAGGGAUUAGAUACCCCCGUAGUCC
rnacentral:rRNA from 1 species